GAUGAACGUUGGCGGCGUGCCUAAUACAUGCAAGUCGAACGAAGACUGUAGUAAUACUGUCUUAGUGGCGAACGGGUGAGUAACGCGUUGGUGAUCUGCCUCGAAGUGUGGAAUAACCUCCCGAAAGGGAAGCUAAUACCGCAUGGUCUCUCAGGGUUUAGAAAUCUGAGAGUAAAGGAUUUAUUCGCUUCGAGAGGAGCCUGCGUCCCAUCAGCUUGUUGGUAGGGUAACGGCCUACCAAGGCUAUGACGGGUAGGGGACCUGAGAGGGUGGCCCCCCACAAUGGAACUGAAACACGGUCCAUACACCUACGGGUGGCAGCAGUAGGGAAUAUUAGAAAUGGGCGAAAGCCUGAUCUAGCAACACCGCGUGUGCGAUGAAGGCCUUCGGGUCGUAAAGCACUUUUUGGAGGGAAUAGGAAGGAAGGUACCUCCAGAAUAAGUCUCGGCUAACUACGUGCCAGCAGCCGCGGUAACACGUAGGAGGCAAACGUUAUCCGGAUUCACUGGGCGUAAAGCGCGUGUAGGUGGUUCUGUAAGUAGGGCGUGAAAGCUCCCGGCUCAACUGGGAGAGGCCGUACUAAACUGCAGAGCUAGAGGAUGGUAGAGGGAGGUGGAAUUCCAGGUGUAGUGGUGAAAUGCGCAGAUAUCUGGAGGAACACCAGUGGCGAAGGCGGCCUCCUGGACCAUUCCUGACACUCAGACGCGAAAGCUAGGGUAGCAAACGGAAUUAGAGACUCCGGUAGUCCUAGCCCUAAACGAAUGCAGACUAGGCGUCGGCGGUUUAAUCACCGUCGGUGUCCAAGCUAACGCGAUAAGUCUGCCGCCUGAGGACUACGGCCGCAAGGCUAAAACUCAAAGGAAUUGACGGGUCCCCGCACAAGCAGCGGAGCGUGUGGUUUAAUUCGAUGCUCCGCGAAAAACCUUACCUGGGUUUGACAUAACAGUGGUAGAGAAGUGAAAACGGACCGACCCCUCGGGGAGCUGUUACAGGUGUUGCAUGGCUGUCGUCAGCUCGUGUCGUGAGAUGUUCGGUUAAGUCCGCUAACGAGCGCAACCCGCGCUGUGUGUUACAAGUGUCACACAGUACCGCCGGUAUUAAGUCGGAGGAAGGUGCGGAUGACGUCAAGUCAGCAUGACCUUUAUAUCCAGGGCUACACACACGCUACAAUGGUCAGAACAAUAGGUUGCCAAGCCGCAAGGCGGAGCCAAUCCUCCAAAUCUGGCCUCAGUUCAGAUUGCAGGCUGCAACUCGCCUGCAUGAAGUCGGAGUUGCUAGUAACCGCAGGUCAGCAUACUGCGGUGAAUACGUUCCCGGGGAU
rnacentral:rRNA from 1 species